UUGGGAGAGGCAGGGAUGAGAAAGGAAUAAACACGGUUUUAAUUUCCAUUGAAAGAAAUAAACAUAGUUUAAUUUCCAUUGAAAGGAAUAAACAUAGUUUUAAUUUCCAUUAUUAGGUUUUAAUAAUAAUAAUAGGCUGAGUUAAUUUAAAUAGACAAAACAAGAGAGAGGUCAGGAUACUGAACAAGGAAAACAACAAUACAGUGUGAGAAUAGAGAGAGCACGUAAGGGAAGAAGAGAAGGGAAAGAAGGGAAGCCUCAGAGCUCAAGCUUAGGAAAAUCACUACCAAUCCAAAUUUUUCAGGUAACAGAUGAGUCUUAGCUGUCGAAUGUCGAGGAUGGCUAUAGGAUGCUAUCUUCUUUUUUUGUUUUCAAUAAAUUAAAUCGCUCUGAUAGGAGGCCAAUUGGGAGGAGAACUCUUAUUUACAUUUUCAGUUAUUAUUACAAAAAAAAGAAAACUGUUGUAAUUUCAGUUGUUUUUUUUUAUCUAAGACUAUUGAACCAUGUUAUUCGUUUUAGUGAUUUUCAAUUCAGGCUA